GAUCAGAGGUUACAUGGCCAAGAUUGAAACUUAGAGGAGUAUAGUUACAUAAAAGAAGGCAAAACGAUGUAUAAAUGAAAGAAAUUGAGAUGGUGCACGAUGCACAGUUGAAGUGAACUUGCGGGGUUUUUCAGUAUCUACGAUUCAUUUUACUCUUUUUUUGGGUUUGGUGGGGUAUCUUCAUCAUCGAAUAGAUAGUUAUAUACAUCAUCCAUUGUAGUGGUAUUAAACAUCCCUGUAGUGAUUCCAAACGCGUUAUACGCAGUUUGGUCCGUCCAACCAGGUGACAGUGGUUUUGAAUUAUUACCAUCAUCAAUUUUACUAGCCGUGAUUUCAUUAUUCAUGAAGUUAUCAUGAACGUUAGAGGAGGCAAUUGGUUGUGAAAGCGCUUGAGAAUUUGUUUGAGUUGUUAUGAGGUUCGGACCGUUGCUACUGUUAGUGAAAGUGAAGGACAAUGAGCUAUCAGCAAUAUUCCCACUUUGAUUAAAAUUGGCGCCACCAAACAAAGCAGACGGGGUCAGUGGCACUAAUGAUUGCAGCUGUUGCUGUUGCCCUAGAAAAGGCGUGACUGAGCGAUGCGAAGGUGUGCUUCUUGGUAUUGUCACUGGAGAGUUACGAGAGGGUGGACGGUUAGAUAACAGCUUGACUAGAUCACUGAAACUUGCUCCUGAUUUCAAUGGCACAGGUGAAGGCCCUACUGAGCCAGGAGAAACAUAUUUAACACUGAUAUUGUUGACAUUUUCCUCCGGAAGAGUAGGGUAUUGGGCGAUAGUUGCAGAACCGACAAUAUUUUUAAUGGCGCUACCAUUACUAUUGUUAUAACUGAUAUGCGGUAAUGGGAUUGCACACUGUGAUAACAGAAACGGCGCACAUACCUCUUCCAGUACUUGAAUGUAUUUUUCACAAGUCUGGAUUUUAAAAGUGGCCAGUUUUUUUAAUAGCAUCAGAACAGUGUUAAUUUGUUGUAAUAAUUGUGCGGUCUCGUUAUUCUCAGCAUUCGAUUUUGAGUUUGAGAGUAGAGUCUUUAUGGGUACUAGGACUGCAUUGAACAAGUAAUAAGAACAAUUCCAGGCAAAAUAUGGGGUGACAUUAUGAUUGUCCAUAUAGCUACUUACAGACAUAACAGUUCUUUGUGCUGCAUCGCUUAACAUGAUGGAGCAUCGUUUAACUUCAUAACUUUGAUGAUCAUUUUGAUCCUGUUCUAGUUGUGACUUUUUCUGGGUAAAAUUAGUGAAAAAAUCUCUUAAUACAUAAAUGAUAAGAGACAACUGUUUCCACUUCAGUUCGAAUCUUGUAAAGGAUAGCCAAGGGUGUUCCUUCAACAAAUUGGUUAGAGCGGUGGUGGAAAUAUCCAUUUGUAAAAACUUUGGUGCCUGUCUCGAAACCUCCUCAAUCUCAUUACAAAUCAUCAAGCAUUUUUUUGCACAUAUAGGACUUUUUUCUGCAGUUACUGUUUUGUCUAGUUCAUAGAUUUUUGUGAAAACUUGUAAGAGCCUUGCUGUUUCAAUGAUGCCAUGAUAUAUGGUGGGACCUGUUGUGGUACGCUGCACAUCGUCGACAGAAGAAGGGAAGGAGAUUGUAUUCUGAGAAAGCUGGAUGGAUCGACCAUAAAGCAGGGACAAUUGGAUCUCCCAAGAGUAGACAGACCACCAAAUUCGGCGUCUUUGUUCCAGAAUGCUGCUAUCACUGAAGGACGAGGGGAGGUCCCUAUUCAAGCCCAAUGAUAUGGCCAUUCUUAUGGAAAAGCUGUGAAAAUUAUAGCUAGUAUUUGUUUUCUGCCUCCACUGUGUAUAUCGCGACAGAAGAUGUAGGGCUGUCACCAAAAUUAUGGAACCUGACUCGAAGACCUUGCUCGUCAAAUGAGAUUUAGCAUUUUGAUAGUAAAAAACAUCUAUAUCAGUAGAUUCCCCCUCUAUACACCAGGCUCCAAUGGCUAAUAUGCAGUUAAAAAGGAUUUGCCAUUGAUCCUUCGACGCGAUUUCAAUCUGGUUAUUAUACAACAUCAUUAGCGUCGGUGAGUGCACGAUAGGGCAGUAGGGGUGAAAAUUAUUGAGAUAACUUUGAAGUAAACGGGAUGUUGUGGAUCUAGAAGCCAACGUGUAUCUAUCCGUAAUCAUGGUCGGGAGCCUGUUAACGUUAGAGUUCGUGUAAUUUUCCGGUUUAAAGCCAAUAGAUCGAAGAAUACAUAAGAGAGAACCGUCGCCAAAGAACCCAUUAUUGUUGGGGUCCGUUUUCAGGAAGGGCAAGCCAUCCGACAUGUCAUCCUCUUCAGACCAAUCAAAUCCAUGAAGAGCAUCCCUGGGCAUAAAAUCCAACGGAAUUGUGGAGUUAUCAUGAUGAGCUGCCGAGUCAAUCGAUACAGUCAACUGUCUUUGACCUUUGUUACUACUCUCUUCCGAUGAUGAUGUCGCACUUAUUCUAUGCUGUCUCAAUGUUAGAGGCAUAUCAGUCUCCACUGAAGCCAAUCUAUCUGUGACGGCAUCUUUAUUCACAUUAUCUUGUACAAAUAAUCCUGUUAACAAUGCUUUUAUAUCCUGUAAAGAAUCCAUUUUCAAAAUCAUGUCAAGGUCUUCUCGAGGAAAAAUCAGUAGAAAUAGCUGUUCCAGUCUUUCUAGCCUUGAUUCCACUUCUGUCAGAUGUGCCCUAGUCAGCGGAGACCUUUUGGUUUUGGGAGAGUAGCGACACUCCCAGUUGUUCUUCAGACACUUGGCGCACUUCGGUUUUUCUUUGGAGCACUUGAGCUUUUUAAGUCGGCAAAUAUCGCAUGCUUGUUCGAUAGAAGACAGUAGCUUCAUCUUUCAGGAGGCUUGCUUCUCUGUCCUCUCUUAAAAUGAUGGCGUGCAUUACGUAGACACAAUCUGGAGAUGAAGCUGAAAAUCUGGGGAAGGAUGACGGAAAAAAUAGCUCAUAAAACAGAAAAAGGCCCGAAGUAACAAUAGGAAAAAUUAAUUGCACUAAACAAAGAAAACGAUAUUAUGGUGAUUAAACUGAUACAGAAUUAUGUAAAUACUUUGAAAUUAUAGAAGGUUUGUAGAAUAAAAAAAAUACUGGGCGAAUGCUGUCUCAAAGGACGCGGACGUUUUGAAA